CCUACGGGUGGCAGCAGUGGGGAAUAUUGGACAAUGGGGGGAACCCUGAUCCAGCCAUGCCGCGUGUGUGAAGAAGGCCCUCGGGUUGUAAAGCACUUUCAGUGAGGAAGAACGCCUGGUGGUUAAUACCCAUCAGGAAAGACAUCACUCACAGAAGAAGCACCGGCUAACUCCGUGCCAGCAGCCGCGGUAAUACGGAGGGUGCGAGCGUUAAUCGGAAUUACUGGGCGUAAAGCGCGCGUAGGUGGCUUGAUAAGCCGGUUGUGAAAGCCCCGGGCUCAACCUGGGAACGGCAUCCGGAACUGUCAAGCUAGAGUGCAGGAGAGGAAGGUAGAAUUCCCGGUGUAGCGGUGAAAUGCGUAGAGAUCGGGAGGAAUACCAGUGGCGAAGGCGGCCUUCUGGACUGACACUGACACUGAGGUGCGAAAGCGUGGGUAGCAAACAGGAUUGGAUACCCCAGUAGUC
rnacentral:rRNA from 1 species